GGAGGGUUGCCCGAGUGGCCAAAGGGAGCAGACUGUAAAUCUGCCGGCUAUGCCUUCGUUGGUUCGAAUCCAACACCCUCCA
rfam:Myxococcales bacterium 68-20 scnpilot_expt_750_bf_scaffold_200, whole genome shotgun sequence.